rnacentral:tRNA from 1 species
AGCAGAAUGGCUAAGAGGAAAGAGCCUUGGCUUGAGAGUCAGAAGUGCUGGGUUCUAAUUCUGCUUCUGCUG